rnacentral:rRNA from 1 species
UACAGAGGUCCCAAGCGUUGUUCGGAUUCAUUGGGCGUAAAGGGUGCGUAGGUGGCGCGCUAAGUCGGGUGUGAAAUUUCGGAGCUUAACUCCGAAACUGCAUUCGAUACUGCGGUGCUUGAGGACUGGAGAGGAGACUGGAAUUCAUGGUGUAGCAGUGAAAUGCGCAGAUAUCAGGAGGAACACCAAUUGCGAAGGCAGCUCGCUGGGACGUUACUGACGCUGAGACGCGAAAGCGUGGGGAGCAAACAGG